GGUGUGUCUGGGUGUGUGGGAGCUGCACUGUCUGGGACCCUGGGUGUGACAGGGUCGUGGCCAUCAGUGGACCACAUGGAACUCCCCAGGGGAGUGGGGAUGGCGGUGAAAUGUCAAGACAGUGGGUAGGACCACUGGCAGUCUGUGACUGUGACAUAUGUCAAACCUCUGUGUGUGAUGUGGGGUGACCAUGACCCCAGGAAGGAUGUUUGUGUAACUGCCUGGGGGAUGUCCAUUUCCUGAGGGCUCUGAUGCUGAGAUGUGUGUCUGUAACUGUCUGAAUCUAUGUCUGGUAUGUGGUGGUGGUGACCAUGACCCUAUGGAAUAUAUUGGUGUGACUGUUUUGCUACUGAAGUCUUUGCUUGUGUCAUGUCCCAAUGAAGCUCCAAGGUUGGGCUGUGUUUAUGUGAUGGGGUGACACUCUGUUUGUAUCUGUAUGUGUGGGCUGUGACUGCUGCAGGUGUCGCACUCCAUGUGUCCUGGUUCAGGCAUGAGCCCCUGUGUGUCCACUGCAACUCUGAGAGGUGAAUGUAAGAUUGUGGGACACUGCCUAUAUUUCAGUCUCUGUAGGAGAGCAUAUGUACCACAUCCUUAUGGGGCUACAGUGACUACAGUCCAUGUCACUGUGUCCUUGCUUUGUGUUUCUGCCACUCAGGGCCAGGCCUCAGCAGUGUCUCCACACAUGAGGCUGGUGACAAUGGCAACAUGUCCUUGCACAGUGAGCUUCUCCUGUCCCCCCAUCCCAACUUGGCCCCGUGCAGCUCCCAGACCUGGGGCAGGAGGAGGGCCCAGGAUGCUCACAUUCAGCCACAGUGCUGCCAACUGCUCUAGGCCCACGGCAGCACCGCACUCCCACUGUCUUCUACCCCAGACAAUCCCUAGGGAGAGAAGCAAGUCAAGGGGCCCUGGGCCUGAGAAGGGCAGGGCACAGAGGGGGGAAGUGAAUCUCUGGAGGAAGAGGAAACUGAGAGGCGAGAGAAAGAGGAAGCAGGAGAAAAUUCACAAACACAACUACAGCAGAUGGAGAAGGCAAGAUGGCAGAGGAAAGCCCACCCUGUCUCAGGCAGGCAUUUCUUGCCUGGACGAAAGGUCUCUCUUCCAUCAUCCUUACCCUCACUCAUUCUACUCUCAACCAUCAGCCAGAGAGUACUCCCCACCCCGAGCUUCUAGGUCAAUUCAUGCCCCUCCUCCAUUCAGAACCCUGAUGGGGCUCCCACCUCCCUCAGAGGACAAGUUCCUGCUGUCCUACACCCCUGAUGUGACUCAGGAAGCCAUCGGAGCAUAGGGCUUGCAUAUAUGGCCCCCCAACUCAAGCUGCCUAGGCUAAACUCUCAGCUCUGCUGUUUACUAGCUGUGCAGUGUCCCCAUCUGCAAAGUGAAGAUCAAAUGGUCUCCACAGCAGGGUCAGCAAGCUUUUUCUAUAAAGAAUCAGAUAGUAGAGACUGGGGUUGUGGCUCGGUGGUGGAGCACUUGCCUAGCACUUGUGAGGUUCUCACAAGUGGGUUUUUUAUUUUUAUGUGGGUUCGGUCCUCAGCUCCACAUAAAAAUAAAUAAAUAAAACAAAGGUAUUGUGUUCAUCUACAACUUGAAAAAAACAAAAACCUAGGUAGUAAAUAUUUUUGACUUUGCAUGGUCUCUACUCAGCUCUGCUGUGAAGUAGUGCCACAGUCACAGACAAUAUGUAG
rnacentral:lncRNA from 1 species